CAAAAAUGAUUUAUGAAAAUUCAACUCAUAUGUCUGAGUUGUAGUUAUUUGACUUGUACCCAUAAGUUCUUUCAACACAAGGAAGUUGAAUGAACUUACAAUUAAAAGUUUGAGUGGGGUACCUCCAUCGCCCCCUGCUGGCGUCCCUCACCUCUGCACCAGAUUAAUCUGAAUAGCAAUCUCCUUUUGACAUCUUUAGGCUACUCCAGGAAUAAGGCGUAACCUAACCAAAUAAAGUUUUUAUUUAAAUGAUUUUAUCAAUAUCUUGGAUAUCCUUGAAACAAGCAAGAGUCCCGAUGAGCACCAAAGGAGAAAAGGGGAACACAUGAAGAAUGACAAUAAUUAGAAUUGGGAAAUAGGCCUAAUAUAAUAAUAAAACAUGGUGGUGUAGUCGAAGUCCAUAAUGACUUAGGUGUUCGGUGUUUUUGUGGGACAAAAAAAAUCGGUAGGUCUUUUGUUUGUUCAGUAGGCCUAACGCAACCAGCACCGCUGCCCUCCCUCUCCCAGCUCCCACCCUGACGCAACUUGCAGAGACGUUUGUUACAUUUGGAUCACGCGCGCACUGUCCUAGUUCAGCCAGCCGCCCGCGCCAGAGAGAGCCGAGGUCGACUCAUCCCGAAGUAGCUGACGGUCGACUCACCCCGAAGAAGCUCAAAUGUCCUUCUCUUUCGUGAGGAUUUCGCAACUAGCAAAAACUCAGUGCAGUGGAAUGCCCGGAGGUCCUGGUCAACAAAAGAAAAGGGAAGUGACUGAACCUGAAGAAGUCAAACUACUGUCCGGAUUCUCCACAAGGGCAAAAUGCUGGAGUGAUGGAGGGGCAUUUAGAUGGAGGUAAUGAAGAAAGACCCAGACAACACAACAGUGGAUGAAGUGAUGUCUGCUACUUUCUCGCUUCGCCGUAAAGAAACAGUUGGGGAUCAACCCAUGGUUGCCGACAGCAUGGAGAGAUGGCCGGCCAUGUUUUCUGAACGACAGGCCCAUGGUGACACACUUGGAGAAGCAACGAAAGACAUCCACCUUGGAAUUCUGAUUAGCUACGAAGUCAACCAGGAGGGAGCCUUUCCAGCAGCUUGUUUCGGAAGUUGUGGACUCAAGCUGAGGCGUUGUCUGGUUGUAUUUUCACUACCACACGUUGCAGAAACGAAUACGUACUUCAUGGCGCUCGGACACUGCAGGUUAACCGCAUAUAUUAUGCCUAACAGCAAGGCCACACCGUUGCCAUAUCGUUUAAAAUUGUGUAGCACAACGAUUUCCUCCACAACAACUGCCACAUGGAAGACAUCUGCUGGAGGUUGGAGCUGUAGACCUGGUAUGUUAGUCAAGUCUAGGCACUGU